rnacentral:lncRNA from 1 species
GAGGUGUUAAUGGAAAAAUCCAACUUCCUUUUCUUCCAAAGAUGAUGACUGAAACCAAAGUGGAGCUUUCCCUGCCUUCAGACUCAGACUGGAACUGCACCGUUGGCUCUCCUGGGUGGGUCUCCAGCUUGCUGACCACAGACCUUGAGACUUCUCAGCCUUUAGAAUCAUGGAAGCCAAUUCCUUAUAAUAAUAUAUAUCCUUUUCCUAGUCUGUGGACUUUUCCCAGCUUCAGACAGACAACCUUCUAUAAACUCCAGGAUGCUCCAUCAAUGCCCUAUCUAGACUCUACAGAUUUUGACCCUGAAGUAAAGUAGGAAAGGCUAUGGAGACAUGUUAAAUGUUGUACUACUGCCUGAAGCCUUUUCUUUAAAUUUUUCAACAAGAGUUGAAUGCACACGUGGAGCUUAAUUGGACAACAACUUUUCUCCUCUUCUGUGGGAUCCCGUCAGUGCUUUAAGCAAUGAGAAGGCAGCUCAUUUCCAAGUUUGUGUGGUAAAUUUGGGGCAAGUGGGAGAAAAGAAAGAAAGGCUGAGUCUUAUAGGGUGUGAUUUGGUUCUAGACAUGCUUAUGUUACUUUUUAUAAGAUUAUCCAUUUGACUAGAUUUCUUUCCUGCUGACAAAAGAGGCAAUUUCUACAUAUAAAAUAAAUCUGAUUAAAACUC